GCUAAACCAGUGCAUCUGUGCAUCUGUGAUCCAUAUGCUACACCAUACACACUUGGUGCCACUACAUAUUGACGUCAGCCAGUGCUAGUUGCAUGUUUCUCUUCUGCACAAGAACUAGGGUCACCGUUGCCUUUUUAGAAAGCUGUUUUGUUGUGUGGCUUAUUAGAGGAACAAAAAUGUCACAUGAACCCGAGAUCUGAUAUUUUGUCGCUUUUCCUGCACCAAUCAGUUCAUGUGUCUCUGACUCUUCAAGCACAAUCGACAUGUAUUUGCAAUGUGCCAAAUGGAUUGACAUUCUCCUAUGAUACAGGUCUAUUUUUAAUAUGCCUUUUAAGUUUCAAAGAAUGUGUACAUCUGAAUAUGUACUGCAUGUAUGCUAGUUGUAUACAACCAGUGUAUCUUAUUGAUGUUGGUGGUGUGCACAAGACAUUAAAUCGAACAAUUUCAACUCCA
rnacentral:lncRNA from 1 species